AUUGAACGCUGGCGGAAUGCUUUACACAUGCAAGUCGAACGGCAGCACGGACUUCGGUCUGGUGGCGAGCGGCGAACGGGUGAGUAAUAUAUCGGAACGUAUCCAAUAAUGGGGGAUAACUAGUCGAAAGAUUGGCUAAUACCGCAUACGCCCUACGGGGGAAAGCAGGGGAUCUUCGGACCUUGCGUUAAUGGAGCGGCCGAUAUCUGAUUAGCUAGUUGGUGGGGUAAAGGCCCACCAAGGCGACGAUCAGUAGCUGGUCUGAGAGGACGACCAGCCACACUGGAACUGAGACACGGUCCAGACUCCUACGGGAGGCAGCAGUGGGGAAUUUUGGACAAUGGGCGCAAGCCUGAUCCAGCCAUUCCGCGUGAGUGAAGAAGGCCUUCGGGUUGUAAAGCUCUUUCGCAAGGGAAGAAAACUUAGCCACUAACAUUGGCUGAGGUUGACGGUACCUUGAUAAGAAGCACCGGCUAACUACGUGCCAGCCGCCGCAGUAACAC
rnacentral:rRNA from 1 species